AAAAAAGCAGGGGCCUCUUGCCUUUGUGAAUGGGCCUCUCGUAAAUGUCAGGAAAAUCAUUAGCAUUGUUAUUGGGUGAACCUCUGUUUUGAUGACUGUGGCUGUAGGUUCAGUAAAUGAAGCUACAUUG